CGCGCUCGCCGAUCCUAAUUGGCGCGCGGCUAUGGAAGAGGAACAUGCUGCCCUUUUGAAGAACCACACUUGAGAUCUCGUUCCGCGCCCCCCUCGGGCCAAUGUGGUUACUGGCAAAUGGGUCUUCAAGCACAAGUUCAACGCUGAUGGGUCACUCGAGAGGUACAAGGCUCGUUGGGUACUUCGUGGUUUCACCCAGCGGCCGGGUGUGGAUUACUCAGAGAUGUUUAGCCCCGUCGUGAAGCCUGCUACUGUCCGCACUGUUUCAUAAUUUUCUGGUUCUGUCAAAUGUUCAAGAUUUGUGUGUUGCCUUUCAUAUCAUUCAAGGGCCGGAGGUUUGUAUAAACACCGGUUGUGCAAUUUGGUUCUUAUGUUCAGGUUCCUGUGAAUAAGUGCUGGCCCCACUUAUUCGGCUUUACCGGUAAAUGCAAGGGAAGUUUCAGGUACUCGCUGAUCAAGCUUGCAUGGGAUGGGAGUAGCCACUUCAUGAUGAGCAUGCACGUAUUGUUGCGAUUCAUUAAACAAAUCUCUAGGCUGAAUAAUUCUUUUGACAUUGAGAACUGUCAUGUGGUCAUUUGGAUGUCAUUUACGUUCGUUC